rnacentral:rRNA from 1 species
GACGAACGCUGGCGGCGUGCUUAACACAUGCAAGUCGAACGGGUCUGCCCUGUUUUUUGCGGGGUGGGUCAGUGGCGAACGGGUGAGUAACACGUGAGUAACCUGCCCCUCACUUCUGGAUAACCGCUUGAAAGGGUGGCUAAUACGGGGUGUUCUGGCUGUGCCGCAUGGUGUGGCUGGGAAAGAUUCACUUUUGUGGUGUUUUGGUGGGGGAUGGGCUCGCGGCCUAUCAGCUUGUUGGUGGGGUGAUGGCCUGCCAAGGCUUUGACGGGUAGCCGGCCUGGGAGGGUGGGCGGUCACACUGGGACUGAGAUACGGCCCAGACUCCUGCGGGAGGCAGCAGGGGGGGGUAUUGCACAAUGGGCGGAAGACUGAUGCAGCGACGUCGCGUGAGGGAUGGAGGCCUUCGGGUUGUGAACCUCUUUCGCCGGUGAAGAAGGUCCUGCUCUUUGUGGUGGGGUUGACGGUAGCCGGGUUAUGAAGCGCCGGCUAACUACGUG